UUACUUACCUGGACGGGGUCAAUAGGCGAUCAAUAAGGCCUAUGGCCUAGGCUGGUGGUUUCCAUUGCACUUAGGAGAGGUGCCUCCCUAUGGUCUCCCCAAGUGGGAGAGUCAACGUCAUAAUUUGUUCUAGUGGGGGCCUGCGUUCGCGCAGCCCCUCU